CGGGACGGGGUGGAGUAAUGUCUGGGAAACGUGCCUGAUGGAGGGGGAUAACUACUGGAAACGGUAGCUAAUACCGCAUAACGUCGCAAGACCAAAGAGGGGGACCGUUCGGGCCUCUUGCCAUCGGAUGUGCCCAGAUGGGAUUAGCUAGUAGGUGGGGUAACGGCUCACCUAGGCGACGAUCCCUAGCUGGCCUGAGAGGAUGACCAGCCACACUGGAACUGAGACACGGUCCAG
rnacentral:rRNA from 1 species